GUCAGUAAUAAACUUUAUUUCUAUUCUUUUUAAAUCUACGUAUAGUGAAAAAAAAUAAAAAAAAGUCAAAAUUUUAAACUGGCUAAGAAAAGUCACAGUGUGGUAUCCAACAUGGAGAAAGUUCACCUGUGAAGAAAGACUGUAUGGCAGGCUUCCUCAAACUCUGGCCCUCCAGAUGUUGCUGAACUACAACUCCCAUGAUUCUAUGAAUGAAAUAGAUAAGCUGAGAAUCAUGGGAGUUGUAGUUCAGCAACAUCUGUAGGGCCGGAGUUUGGGGAAGCCUGCUGUAUGGCAUUAGGACCGCCAUCUCUCUUGGGGCGGUCCACGAUUCUCAAUCAGUGGAAGAUGAAGGUUAUGUCAUGUCUGCAGCAGGUGUUACGAAGCAGCCAAGUGGAAGUUUUCUGUAGAAGAAGGUAAUCUCUUCUGUUUCAGCAGGUCGAGGUUAAUGGUGGUGGGUUUGUCUCUGGCACUGGAACCAUCAGUAAAGGUGUGUAAAAUUGAGAGGAUCACCUUGUUCUUCCAACAAAUCUAAGAAAACACAGAACAUAAGAUAUAGGAUAGUGAUUAACACAUUAAUGAAACUGCAAACACUAAAACGAACUGUAAAAAAAAAAUAAAAAAAAAAUUACUUACUGUAAAU
rnacentral:lncRNA from 1 species